CUCCAGAGAAGUGGAGGAGGCAAGGAGGUUCAUUCUGGAGAAAGUCCAGGUGCACCAGCUAAUGGUUUAUCCAAACAAGACAUUGACUUUUAGAAUCGAUAAGCCCACUAACUACCAUGAAGGAGAGAAGAUUUAUUGUUUCUCCCCAAGGCCGAGAGAGGAAGAAGAGGAGUCGAGAGGGCUGACCCUGAAGAGGAACACGGAUUGCAGAAAAGCAGAGAAUGAGGCGAUGACAUCGCCUGAAGAUUUACUUCUCCCCCCACCUAACAGUUUGCUGGAGGCACCAAGGAGAAGAGAGAAACCUGUAGGAGGCGCUGAGAAGAGGAAGACCAUGUGACCAGAAGUGACCAGACGAUGGCCUAUGAAGCAGCAAACAAAGAAAUGACAGUGAGGGAGUGGGGGACAGAGUAAAUAAAAAGGAGCUACUGGGUCUGUAAGAGAGCCUUUGAUGGGAAGAGUUUGUGAGGUAGAGAGAUGGAAAGAAGGAAGCUUUUGCUUUGAGCUUUUUGUCUGUGAUAAUCUGACCUAGUGUCAUUUUUGGAGAGCUUAUUCGGCUCAACUUUGCUAUAACUCGGCGUAUUGGCAAAGAGUUGUUUUACUUUUUAACCCGCCUUGUCGGGGUUUUGUUUGGAUGAUUAUUCUUUUUUCAUCUGUGUGAAAUAAAACCCAGUUCCUCGGAUUCGAGGAACGAAAAAAGGAUUUACGAGUGGGGUCUCCUCCUGUCGGUAACCGAGCAAAGCAUUUCCUCUGUGGGAGCCCUCUGUCUCAGGGCCAGUGGUCGGCGGCAGCAGCCUGGGUGCUCUCCAGGUAGUGCUUGGGUGUAGGUGGGGGCCCUUGCCCUCCCUCCUCUGGAAGAUCUGUGUCGGUGCCCUGGAUGCUCCUGUGGAUCUACUGCUAUUGGGUCAGACGGCUCCCCUGAUGGCAUUUCCUUGCAUUUCCUGACUCAUCUGAGCUCUGCCCAGUGUUUGGUUGUGUUCUCUAGUGUGUUGUGUGCAUGUGGGUAUGUGUGUGUGUGUAUGCAUAUCACUAAGUCAAGGGUCGCGGGGUUUCUCAAUGACAUUUGUGGGAUAUGUCGGGUCUUCUAAAUCUGUGUUUUUAAUCUAUAUCUUAGCCAUGGCGCAGCGCCACACCUGACUCUAUGUAGGGGAAACUCUGAAUUAAAUAUAUUGUUUUUAGGAUAUAAUGUUCUUGUGAAUUAUUUAUUGGUGCGUUAUUUGUGUGGAGUGCAACAGUGCAUCUGUUGUUAACUAAACUAUAAAUUAAAACUCUACACCAGCAAACCAAGGCAGCUGCACCAUUGUUGGGGUUUCCAGAAACGGGUUAUUUCCAGCAGAAAGUAGCCUACAGGUGGGCUGAUACAUGUUUGACAUGAUGAACAACAUUUUCUGUCUAAAUUAAACGUCUUUAUUAAAUCUUCUUCUGUAAUA